rnacentral:rRNA from 1 species
AUUGAACGCUGGCGGCAUGCUUUACACAUGCAAGUCGAACGGUAACAGGUCUUCGGAUGCUGACGUGUGGCGAACGGGUGAGUAAUACAUCGGAACGUGCCUAGCAGUGGGGGAUAACUACUCGAAAGAGUAGCUAAUACCGCAUGAGAUCUACGGAUGAAAGCAGGGGACCUUCGGGCCUUGUGCUACUAGAGCGGCUGAUGGCAGACUAGGUAGUUGGUGGGGUAAAGGCUUACCAAGCCUGCGAUCUGUAGCUGGUCUGAGAGGACGACCAGCCACACUGGGACGGGGACACGGCCCAGACUCCUACGGGAGGCAGCAGUGGGGAAUUUUGGACAAUGGGCGAAAGCCUGAUCCAGCAAUGCCGCGUGCAGGAUGAAGGCCCUCGGGUUGUAAACUGCUUUUGUACGGAACGAAAAGCCUGGGGCUAAUAUCCCCGGGUCAUGACGGUACCGUAAGAAUAAGCACCGGCUAACUACGUGCCAGCCGCCGCGGUAA